GACGAACGCUGGCGGCGUGCUUAACACAUGCAAGUCGAACGGAAAGGCCCUGCUCUUGCUGGUUGCUCGAUUGGCGAACGGGUGAGUAACACGUGAGUAACCUGCCCUUGACUUUGGGAUAACUUCAGGAAACUGCGGCUAAUACCCGAUAGGAUCUCCUGCUGCAUGGUGGGGGUUGGAAAGUUUCGGCGGUUGGGGAUGGACUCGCGGCUUAUCAGCUUGUUGGUGUGGUAGUGGCUUACCAAGGCUUUGACGGGUAGCCGGCCUGAGAGGGUGACCGGGCACAUGGCGACUGAGAUACGGCCCAGACUCCUACGGGAGGCAGCAGUGGGGAGUCUUACACAAUGGGCGGAAGUCUGAUGCAGCAACGCCGCGUGCGGGAUGACGGCCUUCGGGUUGUAAACCGCUUUCGAAUGUGACGAAGCGUGAGUGACGGUAAUGGGUAAAGAAGCACCGGCUAACUACGUG
rnacentral:rRNA from 1 species